rnacentral:rRNA from 1 species
ACGUAGGGUGCGAGCGUUGUCCGGAAUCACUGGGCGUAAAGGGUGCGCAGGCGGGUGCUUAAGUUGGAUGUGAAAUACCCGGGCUUAACUCGGGGGGUGCAUUCAAUACUGGGCAACUAGAGUUCGGGAGAGGAAAGCGGAAUUCCUAGUGUAGCGGUGAAAUUCGUAGAUAUCAGGAGGAACACCAGUGGCGAAGGCGGCUUUCUGGGCUGAUACUGACGCUGAGGCGCGAAAGCGUGGGGAGCAGACAG